rnacentral:rRNA from 1 species
UACGGAGGGUGCAAGCGUUAUCCAGAUUCACUGGGUUUAAAGGGUGCGUAGGCGGUCCUAUAAGUCAGUGGUGAAAUAUCGCAGCUCAACUGUGAGGGUGCCAUUGAUACUGUAGGACUUGAGUGAAUUUGAGGUAGGCGGAAUUGACGGUGUAGCGGUGAAAUGCUUAGAUAUCGUCAAGAACACCGAUAGUGAAGACAGCUUACCAAGCUUCAACUGACGCUGAGGCACGAAAGUGUGGGGAUCAAACAGG